CCGUAGGUGAACCUGCGGAAGGAUCAUUGUCGA
rnacentral:rRNA from 2 species